ensembl:ncRNA R04F11.25 ncRNA
UGCUAGAUUGUCUAGAAAACGGAAAGCAUUGAGAAUGUCAGGAAGGAUACGAGGAUAAACGUAUAAUUUUUGGUUGGAUAGAUGUAGAAGGCAUUCGAAUUAGUGAAAUUGGAAAAUUUUGGAAUCGGAUUUCACUU